rnacentral:rRNA from 1 species
CUCGUAGGCGGUCUGUUACGUCUGCUGUGAAAACCCGGGGCUUAACCCUUGGCUUGCAGUGGAUACGGGCAGACUAGAGGUAGGUAGGGGAGAAUGGAAUUCCCGGUGUAGCGGUGAAAUGCGCAGAUAUCGGGAGGAACACCGGUGGCGAAGGCGGUUCUCUGGGCCUUACCUGACGCUGAGGAGCGAAAGCGUGGGGAGCGAACAGGAUUAGAUACCCUGGUAGUCCACGCUGUAAACGUUGGGCGCUAGGUGUGGGGUCUUCCACGGAUUCCGUGCCGCAGCUAACGCAUUAAGCGCCCCGCCUGGGGAGUACGGCCGCAAGGCUAAA